CGUGAUUUUAUCAUUCAGCAAUCCUGUCUGCAAAAUGUUGACAGAGAAAGUGCUCUGUUUCCUCAUCAUUUGUAUUGUCUUGGAAAGUCCAGUUCUCUUACUGCCUUAUGAAAGAGAUCAAGGUUUUUUGCUCCGAAGGAGAAAGAGAUAUGACGACAAAGAUGAAUCUGUAUCAAUAGGAGAUACAAUGGUCCAAAACAACGGAUCUGUGUUCAAUUCUAUGGGAGCUCUAGGGUGAAAAAUGCAACAUUUUAGAAUUAUCGAACACUUCAGAACACAUUGAUUCACAAAAUAAUUUUAUACAAUAUAUCAAUAAACA